UAUUCUCCACCCAUAAUUCAAUCCAAAAUAAUGACUACUGAUCUUCUUCUUCUUUGCCUCCCUCUCUUUACCAGUUUCUUGCCACGCAAUUGCCAAUCCAACAAAGAUAAUGCCUCUAAAAUCAAAGGGAUGUUCGUGUUCGGAAGCUCUCUAGUUUCCAAUGGAAACAACAAUUUCUUCCCAUCACAUUAAGAAAUAAACUUUCUUCCAUAUGGAAAAGACUUUCCCGAUGGACCUUCUGGUAGAGCCACCAGUUGAAAAAAUGUAAUUGAUUUUUUUGCAGAAAAUUUUAAGCUUUCUCCUUUCAGUCCACCUGCAUUUUAUGACCCUUCCACAAAGGGACCUCAAAUACUCCAUGGUGUCUCCUUUUCUUCUGCAGGCUCUGGCAUACUUGAUAAUACAAGGCCAUUUGAGAAGUUGUACAAUUUAGGAGCAAGAAAAUUUGUGUUGAUCUCAAUGUAUCCAAUGAGUUUUCUGCCUCUACUCAGAGAAUGCUUUCCUAUUUUGAACAUGUAUGUACAACUCUUCAAUGCUCGCAUGAGGCAAGUCGUGGAUUCCUCCAAGACACGAUUUCCUGGUUCUACUUUUGUUUAUGUCAAUUCAUACAAGAUUCUCUAUGAUAUCAUUAAUGACUAUGCCUCCCAAUGUUUUGAAGAUGACAGAAAUGCUUGUUGCGAAACGCAAUUCGUUAAAUGCAAAAAAGAUGGCAAGGUUUGUGAAAACAGGGACAAAUAUGUAUUCUUUGAUGGUCUGCAUCCAACAGAAGCUACAAACAGGAUCAUCGCAACCAAGGCCUUUGAUUCGCUUGAUCAAAGAGAAGCUGAUCCCAUUAAUUGCAACCAACUAGCUCGAUCUUAAUGUGGCUAAUGCAUAAGCAUUACAAUAGACAUAUUAUUUCAUAUGUAUGGAUAUUGUAAUAAAAUGUUCAAAACGUGUUGAGAAUGUUAUUAGAUUUUUUUUAAUUAUUUCAUAUGUAUGGAUAUUGUAAUAAAAUGUUCAAAACAUGUUACAUUUUUGAAAAAAAUUAGUAAGAUGAAAUGGAUGAUUAAAUCA